AACUUAAUCCGGGCAAUUGCUCUCCGAUUUAUCGGGGGGAGGAAAGUCCGAACUUUACAGAACAAGGUGCCGGGUAACACCCGGGAGCUAAUGGAGUAAUCUAUUAUCGACUGACAGUGCCACAGAAAAUAGACUACCUUGAAUUUAUUUUCAGGGAAAAGGUGAAAAGGCGAGGUAAGAGCUCAACGUCCCGAUAGUAAUAUCGGGUGCAUGGCAAACCACACCUGAAGCAAGGUCAAGUAAGAAAGUCUCCCCGACUUGUUGGGGCAAAGUUGUUCGCUUUGAAUUAAUGCUUAAUUGCAGAUUAGAUUUUCGGGUAGACCGCUUAAGUCUGUUGGUAACAACAGAACAAGAUAAAUAAUUGCCGUCUCGACUCUGUCGGGAUUACAGAAUUCGGCUUAUAGGUUUAAGCUAUUA
rnacentral:RNase_P_RNA from 1 species